rnacentral:lncRNA from 1 species
ACGCACGCACGCACGCACGCACGCACGCACAUACACACACGCGCGCGAGGACGCGUAUAUGAUACGUAAACCCAUAAACAUGCACAACACACAAACACUAACAUUCAGGGAGAACAUAAACAUACAUGCGUAUCCAUGCGUGCCAUCGCACAACAAUCCAUCCAUCUAUGCACCUUAGAUACUCGCAGAAAAAGAGAAGAGAAUGAGAGAGGGAGAGAGAGAGAGAGAGAGAGAGAGAGAGAGAGAGAGAGAGAGAGAGAGAGAGAGAGAGAGAGAGAGAGAGAGAGAGAGAGAGAGAGAGAGAGAGAGAGAGGGUAGGGGAGGUAGAGAGUAAGGGAGAGGGAAAGCGAGUCAUAGACAGAUAGAAAAGGGCAGGAGAGAGUGAGUGGGGGGAGAGAUUUUAUACCCAGGCAUAUUUUUAAGGCAGACACACAGACACACAGACAAUAUAAUCACGUUCACACACAGACACACACACACAUAGAGGUCAGGCAGAAUAACUUGACAGAAAAACAGGCCGAUACAUACAUACAUACAUACAUACAUACAUACAUACAUACAUACAUACAUACAUACAUACAUACAUAUAUGCAUACAUACAUUUAUACAUACAAAAUGGCGCCGUCAACAUCAUACGUGCAAGUGUAUAGGGCCAUUUAAAGUUUCCUUUUGAAUAUUUUCUACAUUUGAACGUUUUUUUCUCCAGCCUAAAUCAGUAAACUGGUUUAUUUCUCCCAUUAUAAAUAAACGAAGCACCUUUCACUUUCCAAUGCAGCGUUAUUCAGACCGGGUUUUAAAAAUAUACCUUAUACCACGUGGAUGUUUGCUAGCACGAUCCUGGCUGAAAUUAAUAACAAUACUACCAACGAAAACAGCACUACAGCACCAGUAAGCUAUCUAAGAAGACGUAAGUACCCCUCUCAUUUUUACUGGACUCUACAUCUAAACCAAGAUCUACUUCGAUGCUAGAAAAAGCCCGUGAAGAAUCUUGUAUCGAAUAUAUGAAGCAGUUAAAAACAUACUGGGACGAAUCUCACUCCAACUUAAAGCACUUUUAUUUCGAAACAGCUUCGGUAAUAAGCAUAUUUUUAAAGAUUUGGUUUGUUUGCGUGAUGUAAUGUGUAUUGAUUUUGUCAAAACACUGAGAAGUGGCCAGAACCUGCCAGAAGAGAGAUCGAAAGUAAUGUAAAUAAACAGCCACCACCAAAUUCACUAAACUCUCGUAUCUCCUCAACGGAGACUUCUGUGGAAUAUAUUCAACACAGAAACAUCCUGAAACCACAGUUCAUAGUUUUCUACUUUUCGAAUCUAUCAUGCUUUCCUUAAUAAGAUUUUAAAAAAUUCAACUUUCAAUAUAAAAAUGUUGGAAGUUAUCGACGAUAUCGCUGGAGAGCACAUGGAAUCAAUUGAUGUUAAUUACUGGUAUAUUAGCUACUUUCACUCUUAUAGAACCUCUAGGAGAAAUUUGCGGUAUGCAUCGUAAUGAAACUACUAAACGGAAGUAAUUUCGAUGGAAAAUAAAAGUUGAAGAAAACAUCAAAAAUCUGCGUCACCAUAUUGGAUUGUUAACCACGAUAAUAACAUGUAAGAGGAAUAAUGAAUGUACAUCUCAUUGAUUACAUUUUAUGAAUGAAUUAACAAAACUAUGGUGACUUUUCACGCCAAACUUUUGAGGGAAGUUUACUCUAAAACAUAAACUCAGGACGCCAAGCGAAAAUCUUCGCCACUGCAGGCGAAUUUUUGAACGUGCCGGUAUAAAUCACAAGUUUGCUUCUAAACCACAGACAUUAUACAGAAUGAUGAGUAAGGGAAAUAUUACAAUUAAGAAAGCUUCAUCUCAAGAAGAUCUUGAAUCAUUCUGGUUGAAAACCUGGAAUGAAAAGAAGGAUUUCAAUCUUAACGCAUUGUGACUAAAUUCCGUAAAGAGAGAAUUCUGUACCAUCAUCUAUAAUAAAACAUGCAAUUGACCCUGAAAUUUUCAGUAUAACUGCAGGCAAACUGCAUAAUGGGAAAGCAUCUAGAAGGUACUUAAGAGUUGGACACUGGUAUGGGAGGCCGACAUUUUACAGGAAACCACUAAUAUGUUUAUUCAGAAGUACUAUGGAAGGUCUGAUUGACAUACCACAUUGGCUUGCUAUAAUACGGAUAAAUCUUGUAGCCAAGAAUAAAACCACCGAGCUGGUUGAAAACUAGAGGCCUAUUGCUUGCUUAAAUCCUACUUAGAAACUGUACACAAGCUGUCUCAACCUAUUCUUCCAUGAUUAGUGUGAAUCCAACAACAUAGUGACUGAUAAGCAAGCCGGUGGAAAGAAGUGAGUGUGGAGAUAUGCCGAACAACUUCUGAGAAACAGAGCUCGACUGAAUGAAGUAAAAAAAAAAAACAUCGUAGGAACAUUACAACACUAUAGCUUGAUUAUAGGAAGGCAAUCGACUCUAUUCCUCACUCAUGAAGUGUCUCCAUUUGCAAAAGUGCCUGCGAUCUUAAUUGCUGCUAUUGAGA